UCCCCUAGUAACUGCGAGUGAAGCGGGAAAAGCUCAAAUUUAAAAUCUGGCAGUCUUUGGCUGUCCGAGUUGUAAUCUAGAGAAGUGUUAUCCGCGCUGGACCGUGUACAAGUCUCCUGGAAUGGAGCGUCAUAGAGGGUGAGAAUCCCGUCUUUGACACGGACUACCAGGGCUUUGUGAUGCGCUCUCAAAGAGUCGAGUUGUUUGGGAAUGCAGCUCAAAAUGGGUGGUAAAUUCCAUCUAAAGCUAAAUAUUGGCGAGAGACCGAUAGCGAACAAGUACCGUGAGGGAAAGAUGAAAAGAACUUUGGAAAGAGAGUUAAACAGUACGUGAAAUUGCUGAAAGGGAAACGCUUGAAGUCAGUCGCGUUGUCCAGGGAUCAACCUUGCUUUUGCUUGGUGCACUUCCUGGUUGACGGGUCAGCAUCAAUUUUGACUAUUGGAAAAAGAUUAAGGGAAUGUGGCAUCUUUGGAUGUGUUAUAGCCCUUGGUUGCAUACAAUGGUUGGGAUUGAGGAACUCAGCACGCCGCAAGGCCGGGUUUUUAACCACGUACGUGCUUAGGAUGCUGGCAUAAUGGCUUUAAUCGACCCGUCUUGAAACACGGACCAAGGAGUCUAACAUGCCUGCGAGUGUUUGGGUGGAAAACCCGAGCGCGCAAUGAAAGUGAAAGUUGAGAUCCCUGUCGUGGGGAGCAUCGACGCCCGGACCAGACCUUUUGUGACGGUUCCGCGGUAGAGCAUGUAUGUUGGGACCCGAAAGAUGGUGAACUAUGCCUGAAUAGGGUGAAGCCAGAGGAAACUCUGGUGGAGGCUCGUAGCGAUUCUGACGUGCAAAUCGAUCGUCAAAUUUGGGUAUAGGGGCGAAAGAC
rnacentral:rRNA from 1 species